rnacentral:rRNA from 1 species
CACGUAGGGGGCAAGCGUUGUCCGGAUUUAUUGGGCGUAAAGAGCUCGUAGGCGGUUCGGUAAGUCGGGUGUGAAACCUCCAGGCUCAACCUGGAGACGCCACCCGAUACUGCUGUGACUAGAGUCCGGUAGGGGAGCGUGGAAUUCCUGGUGUAGCGGUGAAAUGCGCAGAUAUCAGGAGGAACACCGGUGGCGAAGGCGGAUCUCUGGGCCAUUACUGACGCUGAGGAGCGAAAGCGUGGGGAGCGAACAGG